rnacentral:rRNA from 1 species
AACGAACGCUGGCGGCAGGCUUAACACAUGCAAGUCGAACGCAUCCUUCGGGGUGAGUGGCAGACGGGUGAGUAACGCGUGGGAGCGUGCCCUUCAGUUCGGGAUAACCCAGGGAAACUUGGGCUAAUACCGGAUACGUGCGAGAGCAGAAAGAUUUAUCGCUGAAGGAUCGGCCCGCGUCUGAUUAGCUAGUUGGUGGGGUAAUGGCCCACCAAGGCGACGAUCAGUAGCUGGUCUGAGAGGAUGAUCAGCCACAUUGGGACUGAGACACGGCCCAAACUCCUACGGUAGGCAGCAGUGGGGAAUAUUGGACAAUGGGCGCAAGCCUGAUCCAGCCAUGCCGCGUGAGUGAUGAAGGCCUUAGGGUUGUAAAGCUCUUUCGUCCGGGACGAUAAUGACGGUACCGGAAGAAGAAGCCCCGGCUAACUUCGUGCCAGCCGCCGCAGUAA